rnacentral:rRNA from 1 species
AGAGUUUGAUCAUGGCUCAGAACGAGCGCUGGCGGCAGGCUUAACACAUGCAAGUCGAACGGUUGUAGCAAUACAGCAGUGGCAGACGGGUGAGUAACACGUGGGAACCUUCCUAGGGGUACGGAACAACUCAGGGAAACUUGAGCUAAUACCGUAUACGUCCGUGAGGAGAAAGUUUUAACGCCCCUAGACGGGCCCGCGUAGGAUUAGGUAGUUGGUGAGGUAACGGCUCACCAAGCCUACGAUCCUUAGCUGAUCUGAGAGGAUGAUCAGCCACACUGGGACUGAGACACGGCCCAGACUCCUACGGGAGGCAGCAGUGGGGAAUCUUGGACAAUGGGCGCAAGCCUGAUCCAGCCAUGCCGCGUGAGUGAAGAAGGCCUUCGGGUUGUAAAGCUCUUUUACCAGGGACGAUAAUGACGGUACCUGGAGAAUAGUC